rnacentral:rRNA from 1 species
UCGGGAAUUUUGGGCAAUGGGCGAAAGCCUGACCCAGCAACGCCGCGUGAAGGAUGAAGUAUUUCGGUAUGUAAACUUCGAAAGAAUAGGAAGAAUAAAUGACGGUACUAUUUAUAAGGUCCGGCUAACUACGUGCCAGCAGCCGCGGUAAUACGUAGGGACCAAGCGUUGUUCGGAUUUACUGGGCGUAAAGGGCGCGUAGGCGGCAAUUCAAGUCAUCUGUGAAAUCUCCGGGCUUAACUCGGAACGGUCAGAUGAUACUGCUUUGCUAGAGUGCAGAAGGGGCAAUCGGAAUUCUUGGUGUAGCGGUGAAAUGCGUAGAUAUCAAGAGGAACACCUGAGGUGAAGACGGGUUGCUGGGCUGACACUGACGUUGAGGCGCGAAAGCCAGGGGAGCAAACGGGAUUAGGAUACCCUAGUAGUCCCUGAGCGGGCUGGCAAGGCGCAU